rnacentral:rRNA from 1 species
GACGAACGCUGGCGGCGUGCUUAACACAUGCAAGUCGAACGAAGUGGCGAACGGGUGAGUAACGCGUAAUCAACCUGCCCUUCAGAGGGGGACAACAGUUGGAAACGACUGCUAAUACCGCAUACUGAAGGAGGGGAUUGCGUCUGAUUAGCUAGUUGGAGGGGUAACGGCCCACCAAGGCGAAGGUCAGUAGGCGGUCUUGGUGGAUGAACGGCCACAUUUGGACUGGGACGCGGCCCAGACUCCUCCGGGAGGCAGCAGUGGGGAAUCUUCCGCAAUUGACGAAAAUCUGACGGAGCAACGCCGCGUGAGUGAUGACGGCCUUCGGGUUGUAAAGCUCUGUUAAUCGGGACGCGGUACCGGAAUAGAAAGCCCCGGCUAACUACGUGCCAGCAGCCGCGGUAAUUC